GCCAGGCCCCACCUCCCCUGCGGAGCCCUGGCUACUCACCCCAACGAUGUUCCUCUGCGACCUAGUCGCCCUCACAGACGCCUCUUCCGCUAGCUGCGCGCCCGCCUCGCAGCCACCGCCCCCUAAGUCGCUGCCGUCCUCGGUGCCGUCCUCGGUGUCGUCCUCGCUGCCGCCGCCGCCGCCGCGGCGCGCGUCCGAUUUCACGCACACCGCCGUGGCCGCGCACGCGCCUCUGCGCGCUGGCGUCACUUAGCAACCGACAGUUCUCGGGUGGGCUAACCGCCAGGGUUUAGGCCCCCAGGGGCCUCGGGCGGACUCUGCGGCUUUCCUCCACCGCCCAGACCCGCUGCCCCGGCUGAGCAAGGCCCCCCAGGGUGUGGCUACCCUGCGGGCACCUGGCUCCGGGUAAGUCACGUCACCACACGUCACUGUAUAGCGUCACCGGUGCGCGUCACUGCGGAGGGGAAGGUCCAGGGCACCUGUGGACUGAGCGAUGGCCUCGUCGGGACCGGCGCGGACCGGAUCGGCAAGUUCUUCCAGAUGCUGGAAAGUUCUCCAAGAGUGGGACCCGAAGGGGCUGAGUGACAUUCGUUAACUUAGCAGCAGGGUGUGAUGGCCCGAGCCUUGAAUUGCCAUGCCUCAGAGUCCUCGUUCUGUAAGUGGGAAUUAUAAUAUCCGUCCUGCCCACACUAGAAAGUUUUGAGGCUAAAACGGAAUAGUGUAUGCAGAGAUACUAUGUAAAGGAUGAAACACACUUCACUUUACUUUCUCAUGAGAAGACAGUAGCGCAAGAGAAGUGGAGAGUGUGGACUUUGCAUUCACUGAAAUCUGAAAGCAAAUUAGAUCUGAGCCUGGCUGAUAUUGGAGAAUCAGUUCCCCUUGGAAGUUACUUCCUUCUGGGCAUGGUGGGGGCCAAGGUGCAGGGAUCUGGGGAGACUAAUUAGGAAAGACUUAAUUCCAGGGAAAGGAGUAAAUGCAGGAAGUGAAAAUAGUCGGGAAAACCAAGGCUUGGACCAGGGAUACCCAGUUUGAGGCCAUUGCAGUCCUUCAGACAAGAAGUGUUGAGAACCUUAACUAAGGCAUUGGCAGUGGGAAUGCAGAGGAAGGGAACACUGUUUAGGUGGUACAAUUGCCAGCACUGGGUAGAGGAUAAAUGGAUAAUUCUAGUGUAGGUGCUGGAGUAGAUAGUGGUAAUAGUUAGCAAGAUGGGAAGAAAGAUGAGUCUGUAUUAUCCACAUGUGUCUAAUAUACUACAUAGUGACGAUGACCUGUGAAAUAGGAUGAUGAGUUCAGAUGUAGAUCUGUUUGUUUUGGAAACACUUAUUCCACUCUCCUUCCGCAGGGAGUAGCAUCCAUUAGUAUAAUACUUCUGGCUUCUCCCUGCCUGGAUCCCCAACUCACUCCUCCCUGGAAAAGUGAUUUCCUGAUUGAUGAACUUAAAAGGAGAAACAGUUCUCUCAAAAGAGAGUUGUCUUGGGCUGGGGUUGUGGUUCAGCUAGAGCACUAGCCUAGCUCAUGUGAGGCACUGAGUUCAUCCUCCGCACCACAUAAAAAUAAAUAAAUAAAGAUUAUUGUGUCCACCUAUACUAAAACAAAAUUAAAGAAAAGAGUUGCCUUCAGGGAACUGUUCUUGUGUUCUCUUCUCUCUUCUGCAGGGGCAAGGGCUAGUGGUAAAGUUUUCUAGGCCAGAGCUACAAAGCAAGUAAGCCUGUUUAUUUCCAGAGUAUAACAUAAGGAAACUGUCCACAGGUGAUAUCAGAUAUCUGCUUUGUCAAUUCUGUUAUACAGGAAAAUGGGCCCACAAUGGUGACUGCAUCCUAAUCUCCAGAACCUGUGAAUAUGUCACCUUGUGUGGCGAAAAGUCUUCAAAUACAGAGAGAUUAUACUGAAUGAAUGGCUGGGCUACAGGCAGAAAUGUCAGAAAAGGAGAAGGAAGCAAAGGUCAGAGAAACAGAUUUGAAAAUGCUUCACUAUCUACCUCCAAGAUAGAUCCAAGGAGGGCUAGGAGUGUAGCUCAGUGGUAGAGUGCUUGCCUCACCCAAGCGCAAGGACCUGGUUUUAAUUCUCGGGUGCAGGGAUUAGGGAUAUCCAAGGUAUACAGACAUCCCCCUGAAAAGGCAAGGAAAUGUAGUCUUCCCUGGAGUUCCCAGAAGGAGUACAGUCCUGUCAACACUUUGAUUUUAGGACUUCUGACCUCUAGAACUUUAAGAUAAUAAAUUUAUAUGGUUUUAAGCCACUAAGUUUGUAGUCAUGUGUUACAACAGUGGGAAGCUAGCAGUAAUGAAGAUGGCAGUUGGUUUCAUCUAGAAAAGAAGGGUACAAUUUAUUAAGGCCCCCUAUGAACUAUAAUAGUGUGAAUGUGACCUGAGGGAGGCAACCUCCACAUUUUAGAGGGAAAUGUCCAAUAAACAAAUUCUUCAGGUCUAUGAAUUAUGAAAGAACUCGGGUUAAAGUAAACCAGAUGUGGAGAACAUGAACUUAUAAUUGUUCAGUUAAUCCAUAGGCAUUGAUGAGAUGAAUCAGGGAGAAAAUAUAAAAUUGUAUUAGAUUCAUUUGCUUAUGAGAGCACACAUCAAAUCCCUCUCAGAUCAUUUCAAAAACCUUGAAAGUCAAUAUAUUGAUAUGCCAACUUCUGUCCAGAUUCUAUGACUGUCACACGGUUAUAGAAACUCAGAUUUUGGAGAGAAACACAUACGUAUAGUAGUUGCCAUAGUUAUUUUUCUUUUAAAAAUCAAGUAUAAAUAUAACUAUAAUGCAGUAUACCAGGUGCUAUAAUAGAAUAUGGACAAGGCAAAAUGAGGGUUAUAUAAAGUGAUUCAGAAAGGGACCAUUUCGUUCUGCCUAGUGAAGUCAGGAUAUUGAACGAAUUUCCUACACUGUCAGGUGGACACAGGACACCUCAAAAAUGGACAAGAAUAUAUGAAAGCAUGAGUAUGAAAAAAGCCAGGAGAGCUGUGCUAAGCCAGUGAUAUCACUUAACAUUCCUUCCAAGUAGUUUGGUUGUAAUCUGAAUGUUUAAUUUAAAAAAAAAUUUUUAAACUUAAUUUUUUUAAUUGAGAAAAUGGCCACAAAUGAGAGUUGAAUGCAAGAGUACUUUAUUUUUUCAUAAGCUCCAAGAGGAAACAUUCAUGGUUAUAAAUGCCAUGUUUUGGUAUUUUGCUUAUCUAAUCUUUAUACAUUGUCACAUUUAAUUUCUCAAGCAUUAGCUUAUUAUAUCAGCCAUUGACAUAGCUCAGUAUUAGCAAAUGGAAAGUAAAAUUUAAGUUAUUUGGCCAAGGUCAAAACUGUUAAGUAGCAGACUGAAAUUUAGACCUAGCACAGGUAUCCUCUCUCCAGAAAGCCUUCCCUUGAAUCCUUAGUUGAUUUAAGUGCCUGUCCUCUGACUAUGAGCAUAAUGUAUUUUCACUGUGGCAUUUACUUCAGUAACAGUGAUGCUUGCUGUGUGCCAAGUACAUAAUUCCUGUACCUGUUCUGUUACCUGAGUUUAAAUGUGCUAUGGGCAUUCACUCAUUUAAACUUUAUAACAGCCCUUAGAAGCACCAUAUAGAAAGACCACAGAGUGAUAGCAUAUACAACAACCCUACUGUUUAUCACAGUAUUUUAUAAAUGAAGGGCUUAGGAUGUGGCUCAGUGGGAGAGCACUUGCCUGGCAUGUUUAAGGCCCUGGGUUCGAUCCCCAGCACCAGGACCAAAAAAGAGGAAAGGCUAAAUAGUCACUCAGAGUCACUGCAGAAUUAAUAAGUGAUGGAGCCAGAUUCAGAUCUAGAUAGUUAGAUGCUAGAAUCUAUGCUCUUAACCUCCAUUCUGCUACCUGCAGACCAUGUAUCCUCUGCUUACAUGAGGGAUUCUAGAAAACAGCUCACAGAACUUACUGAUGUAUUUACUGUAGGGAUGUUGUAUGUGAUAUUUCUCUGUGGUCCUUCUAUAAAUGCAAGAGAAUUUUUUCUGAGUAAAAAGUCAUGAAAUAUUUGGCUACUCUUGAGUAAUAGAUGUUCUUUCUCUUCAUAAGCAAUAGGAUUAUAUAACAGGCUGUUCUUCCCUUUUUGCUUUGCUAAGAAGCUCUGCAUAAAUGUGUUGACUCAGUGUUUGUAACUGAGUGGCUUGUUCUGCAUACUGUGUUCUCUUUUUUUAUUACUCAGCCUUCCAUUGCUAUAACAAAAUAUCUGAGCUUAUCAUCUUAUAAAGAGAAAAUAUUUAUUUUGGCUCACAGUUUCAACCAAUGAUCAAUUGGCGCUAUUGUUUGGGGCCUAGACUGAGGCAGUAUAUAUGGCAGGGGUGUGUGGUGGAGCUAAACCACUUGCCUCAUGACCAGGAAGCAAAAAGAGAACAAGGAAGGCAUCAGGGUUCCCCAACGCCCUUCAAAGGCAUGCUUUCAGUGACCUAAAGACUUUCCACUCAGCCCCCCUCCUGAGGGUUCUACAUCUACCAAAAGUGCCACCCUGGGGACCAAAACUUUAGUACAUGGGCCUUCAGGGGACAUUCAAGAUCCAAACUACAGCAAUUGGUUUGAAAUUUCUCAAAAUAAAUAGUUGAAAAUAAUAAUCUAAACUUUUCUUAUUUCAUUUUUUUAUUUUUUUAAACAGAGAGAUAGAGAGAAUUUUUUAAUAUUUAUUUUUCAGUUAUCGGUGGACACAACAUCGAACCCGGGCCACACACAUGCCAGGCAAUCGCGCUACCGCUUGAGCCACCUCCCCAGCCCCUAAAUUUUUCUUAUUUUAAAAGUAGCAAACAUAAGCCUUGUUUUAAAAAGGAUAUGUGCAACUUUGAUGUUUUUUCAUGUUUUGAUAAUAAAAACUAGUUUGAGGUUAAAUUGAAUGUGUUAAGUAUAAAAUCUCAGUUCUUAAAAAACAAGACUACUGCAUGACCUUGAAAGUCCAGAUUAACUGAAUUGUUGGCCAGACAGAUCAGAAAGUAUUUCAAAUAGCAUAAAAUAGCCUAAUUGUGGCACUUCUAGUUUUUUACUUAUAUCUAAAUAAUUUGAAACCACUUUUGGGUUAUUUGUACACAUACUUUAGAGAUAAGAAGGUCCAUUAUCUUCUAUAUGCUGGUGAUAUUUUAUUAUGAUGAAUAAUAUUGUGAUGAAUAUAGUUGAUCUUAUUGCUUACUGUUUAUCAGAAAGAAUGAAUUAAGACCUGUUCCAAAACUAAAACUAUUAACAUGUCCUUGGAUUUAAUUGACUCAGAUCCAAUAACUAAAACCCAGGUUAAGUUCUUUACUUAAUGGUAUGUUUUGCAAGUAAUUCUUCAGGUAGAUUUACUGGCAGUUGUUUUGAUAAAAGCCAUAUAUUUCAGGACAGCACUAUUCAGGUUUUUCUAUAGUCGGAAUGAGAAACUAAAAAUUUCUUCUUUGAAAAUAUUUUAGUGCACAUUCUCAUCAUUCUUCAACAGGGCAUUUGAAUGUCCAGCAGCCCAGGCCGGUGGGCAAGUGCUCUGUACUCAUUGUUGCUGUGUCAUAUAAUAAUAGAAGCUUCCAGCUGCUGCAGUUGUAACUCAGUGGUAGAGCACUUGCCUAACACAUGUGAGGCACUGGGUUAAAUACCACAUAAAAAUAAAUAAAAUAAAGGUAUUGUGUCCAUCUGCAACUAAAAGAAGAAGGAGAAAGAGAGGAAGAAGAGGAGGAGGAGGAAGCACCCAUGGAUGCCAGACUUGAAAUCAGUUGAUCUCUAAAUAUUGGUAACUUAUGUAAACUUGAAAAAAGAAAAAAAAAAGUUUGAGUUUGCAGGCUUACUGCUUUAUGGAUUAGAACUUAAUGGUCUUCAACAUUUGCUUUAUUCUUAUUUGCAAAAAGAGUUGAUUUUAAAGGAAAAUCCUGGAUUACCUGGGAGAGGAGGAGCUCCCUCUAUCUUCUACCAUAUGUUCCUAUUAAGAGGACAGUCUUAAUGAGGUGACUCACUCUUCACAAAAGGCAGUGAACACCCUACCAUCUGCUGAUCUCAUUACUGAAGUCUGAGCAAUAUGUAUCUGCCUUCAGCCACACAAUAGGAACCAGUCCAUCAGAAAACUGCAUACUUAGCCAUAUUGUCCUGAGUUCACAUAUUCAGAAACCUUCUCAUCCCCUUUCUAGAGUGUUCUGUUGACUUGUUUGAGUCUUGGCUUCUUCUGCUUAUAUUAAGAAAUUGUAGAAGGAAGGAACAGUUUCACAAAACCCACUAGUACCUUUCCUGUAAAGGUGUUUCUCUGCACUUGAUCACUUUAUGUUGCUUAUCAGAAAUGCCACAAGAGAAUUUUUUUUCAGAGCCAAGUAUUAUGAAAUGCCUGGUUAUCCUUGUGUAACUGAUGUAUAUUCCUUACAGACAAGUGAAUGUGUAACUGAAUUUGUUUCCCUUUUCACCUUGGCUACCACAAAACUCUGACCUAAAUUUGUAGCUCAACUUCAGUUCCUGGGUAGAACCUGUGCCUACAUAUCUGCAUUCUAAUCUGUUCCCUGGUCUGAAUUUUCUGUUUAAAUUUGGGGUAUCUCUUGCUCUGAUUUAUCUAUUAUUUUAAAAUUCUGUGUGAAAUUGCACUGGUCAUCUCAAAUUAUAGAAAAAGCUGGGGAAUGAAUGGUAAAUAUGCCUAUAACUUUCUUAUGCCUAAUUGUUUGCCCUCCGUUCAGGCAGGAGUUAAACACUCUUCCAUGCUGACAAAAAUGUUUCUUUAUGAGUUCUCCAGGGUUUAUAAGAGAUAAAUAAGAGAACAAUGAAUUACUUUCAAAGGAUUCUUAAUGUUAUUGCAACUCUGAAGAAUGUCAUUCUUUAACUUUGAUAUUUUUCCCCCUUUGGAGGAAGAUGGAUGGGUGAAAUAAUGAUUGACAAGCUUAAGUUGGAAACUUCAGGUCCCAAGUUCUUUAAUCAUAUAAUUUUCUCAGUUCUUUCAAUAUUCUCUUCUGGUAGGCCUGGAUUUAAAGAAUUAGCCUCUGUAUAAUUUAAGUCAUAUUCUUUGUUUUAACCUCCUUUCUACCUCACAUAUUAGUGAUCCCAUUGUAUUUGCUAGUAUAUGUCCACAUAUACACUUUAUUUUUUUUUCACAUACACACUUUAACUGAAGGUACAUGGAAGGGCUAAAGGCAGUGUUCAUUGUUGUCUUAAUACAUCUUUUAUAUUUGGGUAUCUGAUGGCUGAAAGUUAAUUGAAUGUGAUGACCAUUUUUACACAUCAUCAUCAUAUGCCAAUCUAUGAUUUAUUAUUUUAAUUCUGUUGUUACUUGAGAAAAAGACAAUAAAGCUGCUUUGUAAAUGUAAGGUAAACAUUAAAAUAUUUCACAAUUUCCUGUAAUCCUGUUUGGGCAUUUCUUCAUUUUUUUUUCCUUUUUUUUAAUAUUUUUUAGUUUUAGGUGAACACAAUAUCUUUAUUUUAUUUUUAUGUGGUGCUGAGAAACAAACCCAGUGCCUCACACAUGCUAGGUGAGUGCGCUACCACUUGAGCCACAUCCCCAGCCCCCAUUUCUUCAUUUCGUGAUAUGCCAAGAACGUAAAAAAAUGGAAAUAGCCUACACUUGUUUCCUAUUUCGGUUUUCAUUUACUGGGUCACUUUGAUCUAGGCACUGAGGAGAUAUAUAAAGAUCAGUUUUUGUACUAAAGGAACUAACAGUCUGAACUUCACUGUCCCAUGUUAGCCUCUGUCCACAUUUGGCUAUUUAAAUAUCUAUUUAUUUAUUUUUAGUUGUAGUUGGACACAAAACCUUCAUUUUAUGUAUUUAUUUAUUUGUUUUUAUGUGGUGCUGAGGAUCGAACCCAGGACCUUGCUCGUGCUAAGCGGACGCUCUACUGCUAAGUCACAACCCUAGCCCCCACAUGUGGCUAUAUAAAAUUAAGUUAAAAAUUCAGUUCCUCAGCCAUACUAAACACAUUUCAUGAACUCAGUAGCCACAAUAGCUACUGUGUUAAACAAUGCAUGUAUAGAACACUUCUCUCAUUGCAGAAAAGUUCUGUUGGAUUGCCCUAGUCCAAGGCCGUGUGAGAAUCAUAUGGUAGAGCAAAAUAAAUUCAGAUGGAGAAAAAUCAUGUAUAAAGUGUGCAGAAGAAUGACUUUGGGCAUGUCGAUGCCUACUGCCAGAGAGCCUCAUUUCCUGGGUGGCACGGGAGUCUAUAUUUUUAACAAACAUCCCAUAUUUUGAUGGAGGAGGUAUGUGGGCUACUUGAAAAAAUCAAGGUCAGGUAAGUGGAAAGGUAUUUUGGGUUCUCAGGUUUGUUUAUAUGGGAAUAGGAAGGAGAAGUUCUAUUCUAGUUUGAUGGAAGGAAAGUAAAAUCAAAGACCAACUGAAAGACUAGAGAAGGGUUUCUAAAACCUUUGACAGAAAAAGGGGUAAGGCAAAUAAUCCAAAAGAAAAAAUGGGCAAGGAACUAAACAAGCCUUACAUAAACUGGAAAAUACAAAUUGCUUAAAAAUAUGACAGUUUUACUUGUCCUGAGGAAAACUCAAAUCAAAUGGCGGAGUGAGUUUUCACACCUUUCUUGGAAAGUAAUCUGUUGCCAUCUCCUAUAAUUAAAAAUGCACUUACUCAUAGAUCUUCCAAAGAGUGUAUUCUCCUUUCUUCACAAAAAAAAAAAAAAAAUCCCAGCAUGCUAAACACAUACAUGUAAGGACAUUUAAUGUAGCACUAUUUGCAAUAAAAAAUUAGAAACAUAAUAGGGGAAUGAAGAAUGAAUUAUGAAACAUCCAAACAUGUAAUAUAUUAGUUAUUUGAAAGAAUGACAUCUAUAAAUAUUGACCUGUAAUGAUGUAAUGUGAUAAAUUACUAAGAGUAGAAAAGCAUGAUGUCAUCUUUGUAGAAAAAAAUAAAGGAAAAUGUGUUUGUUUCCUAUGAUUACCAUAACAAACUGCCAUGUGCUUCAUGGCCCAAAACUAAACAUAUUUAUUCUCUUGCAGUUAUAAAUGACUAGAAACCCAAAGUCCCAGAUUUGCUGGGCCAAAAUCAAAGUAAGUCCACCCUCUCUCCACAGGUUAUGGGGAGAAUCCAUUCCCUGCCUCUUCCAGCUUCUGGUUUCUGCCAGCAUCCCUUGACUUGUGGUCAUAUCACUCAUCUCUGCAUUUGUCAUCAUAUCACCUUUUCCUAUUCUGUGUCAAAUUGUUCUCUACCUCUUCCUUACAAGAGGACACUUAUGAUUUGCAUUAGUAUCCACCAGGAUUAUCUCCCAUGUCACACUCAUUAGUUACAUCAGCAGUGAUCCUUUAUGCAUAUAAGACAACAUUCACAGGUUCCAGACAUUAGGAUCUGGAUGUCUUUGGGGACCAUUUUUCAGCCUACCACAACAUGUUUGUAAACUUAAGAAUAAUGUCAAAGGAUACCAAAUUGUUAGCAUUAGUUUCUUUAAGGUGGAGAAGAAAUUAACUUUUUUUUUAGUAUAUACUUUGAUUUAUUAAAAAUAAAGUUGUGGGGCCAGACAUGGUGGCGCAUGCCUGUAAGCCCAGCAGCUCAGGAGGCUGAGGCAGGAGAAUCCCAAGUUCAAAACCAGCCUAGCAAGGUCCUACACAACUAGUAAGACCCUAUCGCAAAAAAAUAAAAUGGGCUGGGGAUGUGGCUCAGUGAUUAAGCACCUCUAGGAUCAAUCCCUAGUACAAAAAACUUCUGGGGCUGGAAAUGUAGUUCAUUGGUAGAGUGCUUGCUUACCAUGUGGAAGGCUCUGUGUUUGAUACACAGCACCACCAAAAAUGAUAUAACAAAGUAGAAGUAAAAGAAGAGCAAAAUUUUCAGGUAAAUACAAAUAAAGAAGCAAAGGUGGUAAUAUUAAUUUCAGGUAUAGUGGAAUCCAAGAUGACAUAUGUUUCUUAGAAUUGGAUGUGCCAGAUAGACUAAUAAUAAUAUCAAGUUGGUGGAUUUUAGUUAAACCUUCAAUGAACUUGAUUUAAUAACAAAGUAACAUACUUGUUCAAGAAAAAUUCACAAAAAUCAGUCAUAUACUGUUCACAAAGAAAAUUUCAAAAAGAAGAAAAAAUACAGUUUGCUUAGUGUGGUGGUGCACACCUGUAAUCCCAAAAGCUUGGGAGACUGAGACGAGAGGAUCGUGAGUUCAAAGUCAGCCUCAGCAAUUUAGCAAGUCCCUAAGCAACUCAGCAAAACUAUGUCUCUAAAUAAAAUACAAAGAAGGGCUGGGAAUGUGGCUCAGUGGUUAAGUACCUCUGGGUUCAAUCCUCAGUCCAAAAAAAAAGAUACAGUUUAUGUUCUCUAGCCACAAGGCAAUAAAACUAGAAUUAAUAGUUUAAAAGCUACCAAGAACUGGAGAGAUAUAGCUCAUUGGUACACUAGAAACAGUACGCAUGGGUUCAAUCCCUACCACUCCUCACCAAGCAAAAAAGCAAAAUAAAAUUCAUCUUUUUAAGCUAAUGAGGAAAUAAAAAUUGAACUUAUAAAAGAAGAGUCGUGGGUGCCUUACAUACAAAAGCUGUCUUAUGCCAGGCAUGGUGGCACAGAAAGCUGAGCUAGGAGGAUGGAAAGUUCAAGGCCAACCUGGACAAUUUAGCAAGACCCUGACUCAAAGUGAAAAGGGCUUGGGAUAUAGCUCAGUGGUAGAGCACUUGACUAGCAUGUGUGAGGCCUUGGAUUCAAUCCCUAGUACUGCAAAGAAAAGAAACUGUCUUAUGUGAUCAAAACAAUUCUCAGACAAGAAUGUUUACAUGUACUUUUGAGAUAAAUAUUAUAAAUAAUUGAAUUCAUCAUUCCACUAAAAGUUAGGAAGAAAAAGAAAACCAAGAUAAACUAAGAAAUUGGGAGGGAAGGGAAAAUGUAGAAGUGUACCAGUCAGUUAUAGCCACAAAAUGCUGCAUAACAAAAUCUCAGUAGCAUGCAACAAGAGGCCAUUGUGCAUUCUAGAGCCCAGGCAGGAAGGGCAGCGGAUCAGGGAGCAUGUUGUUCAGGUGGUGAUGGCAUUAGCACAGAGCACAAGCCCUGUUUCACAUCCCGUCUCUGCGCAGGCCACACCUGCCCUCAUCAAACCCCACCACUCUCCUCCUCUCUCCACUGUAAUCAUUUUGGCCCUUGAUUACUCCCUCUGCAGAAUGCUUUUCCUCAAUAUAUUCAUUCCCAUACUACCUCACUUUCUUCAGGUUACUGCUUCAGUGUCACUUGUCUCACCAACAUAUAGCCAAUAGCACACUACUUGCAUUCCAUUUUUCUCCACAGCAGCACUUGUCAAUAUGUCACAUACACACACUAAUUUACCUAUUGUCUUCUUCACUGGAAUAUAAGAUUUGUGAAUUUGGGACUAUUUUAUCCACUGCCAUGUCCCCAGCCCUUUUAAGAGUAACCAGCACAUAGUAGACCCUAAUUAAAAGCUUAUUAGUGAAUAAAUAAUUAUAUCAAAAUGGAUUCUGUUAUACAUAACUAAAAAGAUGUGAUAAAAAAAGAAACCAGUUCAUACCAAUCUGAUGGCAAAGAUGUAAAGCUUGAUCUUUUCUGUUGUUGAUACGUUUGUGGAACUUGAACUUUUAAACACAGUUGGUAGACAUGUACACUGCAUAGUGUAACCGCUUGCAGAGGCUGCUUAUUAUUUCCAAGAACUGUUCUCCCUUUCUUCCCAAUAGGAUUCACUAGGUAUGAUUUGUGUUGUCACCCAGAAUAAAGAUUCUCCUGCAGCUAAAUGUAAUACCAUUCGGGCCAAUGGUAUAUACUUGGAAAUCUUUCUUUUCUUCUUCUUCCUUCUUGCUGGCCAGAAUGUGUCCAUGAUGGUGAAGCCAUACUGCAAUGGGAGAUGAAAGAUGCCUUGCUGAGAAUGGUGGCACAGCAAGGGUGAAGUCUUCCGGGUCCCUGAGGAGUUUGCAAAGCUACCCUGCCCCUGCCUGCUUCCUCCAGAAUGAUAUGAGAAAGAAGUGUGCUGCUUUAUUCUUUUUUUCAUUCUUUUUUCUCCCCCUUUCAUGGUACUGGGGAUUGUACCUAGAGCCUCGCACAUGUUAGGCACGCACUCCACCUCUGAGUUACGGCUGCAGCCCAUGUUUUAUUUUUAAUUUUUUUAUUUGUUCUAAUUAGUUAUACAUGACAGUAGAAUGCAUUUUGACACAUCAUACACAAGUGGAGUGUAACUUCUCAUUCUUCUGGGUGGUAUAUGAUAUAGAGUUUCACAGGUCAUGUAAUCAUAUAUGCCCAUAGGGCCAUGUUUUUAAAUUUUAUUUUGAGACAGGAUCUCACUAUGUUGCCCAGGCUGACCUCAAACUUGCAAUCCUCCUGCCUCAGCUUCUCUUCAGCUGGGAUAAGAGGCAUGUAGCCCCAUGCCCAACUGUGUUGCUAUUUUUUAAGCCACUGUUAUUUUGAACUUAGUAUCACUUGCAACUAAAUCCAGUUCUAAAAGAUAAAAUCACUUUGGGAAAUAAUUUAGCAUUACAUAAUGAGCUGAAUAUGGCAUAUGCCAAGAUCCAGAAAUUUUACUUGUAGGUGUAAUACCUAGAUAUAACCCUAGAAAAGUCUGUCCCAUGAACAUGUGUACAAAACAUUCAUAGUAGUGUAACCUCUAAUAAGAAAGAUAGGAAAACUCUUCAACAUCUAGUAACAGAAAAAUGAAUAAACACUGCACAAGAUGGAAUAUGUAUCAACAUGGAUUAACCUUACAAUAUAAUGUUGAAUUAAAAAGCAAGCUAUAUAUGAUUCUUAUAUUAUGAAUUUUAAAUCCAAACAAUACUAUAUAUUGCUAAGAGAAUAUAUUUCAUUUUGACAUGAACCUAAAGCGUUUUCUUACUUAUUUUUUCCACCUUAAGAUCAUCUCCUUGGUAUAAAAAAAAAAAAGCCUUUUGUUUUUGUUUGAGGUCUAACACAUAUGAAGUAUUUCCUUUAUUUUCCCAUCAAUGUUGCAAGAGGUUUGGCUUUUUUAAAAUUUUUAGUAGUUGUAGGUGGACAGAAUGCCUUUAUUUUAUUUGUUUAUUUUUUGCGGUGCUAAGGAUGAAACCUCAUGCCUCACACAGGCUAGGCAAGUACUCUGCCAACUGAGCUACAGCCCCAGCCCUAAAAUGUACAAAUAACUAUUAUGCAGCAUUUUGGAUUUUCACAAAGCAAACCCAGGUCAAGAAAUAGAAUGUCACUAGCACACCAGACACCACCACCCCACGAUUAUACUGGAGGGAAGAGACUUUUAUUCAGUGGUUAGGAAGGAGUUGCACUCUCUGCCAGAGAUAAAUCAAAAAGCAUUUAACCCUAAAUUGUUACUAGCAGCCAUCCCCAAACUAAGAGGGAUACCAGUUGUAGGAUAAAAACAAUAUUGGAGUUCAGAGUGAAGAGACAGAAAGAGGCUGAGACCCUUUGAUGAUGUUGUUUGGAUUAUAUUAACUGAAACUGAACUGUAUUUGCUUCUGUACCCCAGGUAGAUGAGACUUUAAUUUCCUCAUUAUUUAAAUCUGCUUAAAUUGAAUUUUCUUUUCUUCCCACCAGAAGAAUUCUAUCUGAUACAAACAGGUUAAAAUCUACCACUGUUUCAUUUCAAUGAUUUAGGUUAGAACUUGAAAUGGCUAGCAUUUCAAAAGUUCAAAAUUGACUGAGCCUGACAUUCUUUUCUUUCACUUGAUGAUUAUUAUUAGAGAAAUAAUAAUAGUUAACACUGACUGCUUAUUACCUGGAUGAAAGUGUUCUAAGCAUUUUUACAAAGAUCCCAUGAGGUAUGGAAUGCUGUUGUCAUCCUUAUACAGAUGAGGCUUAACCCUAGGCCAUUUCAAAAAGAAGACAAGAGAAUAUUCCAGGGCUGUGCUGUCCAUUACAGUAGGCACCUAGGGCCAUCAAACACUUGAGAUGUGGUGUGCAUGUAGUGUUGGGCACGCCAGGUGCCAAAGGCUUUAUACAAAUAAAGGAAUAUAGAACGCCUCAUUGAUGAGUAUACUAUAUUGAUUGUCUAUUGAGAAUAUUUUGCAUAUAUGGUAUUAAGGCAUGUGAUGAAAAUUAACUCAUUUAUGUGGCUUCUAAAGAUGUUUAAUUAGGGCUGGGGUUGUGGCUCAGCUGUAGAGCGCUCGCCUAACAUGUGCAAGGCCCUGGGUUCGAUCCUCAGUACCACAUAAAAAUAAAUAAGUAAAAUAAAGGUAUUGUGUCCAACUACAACUAAAAAAUAUUUAAAAAAUAAAAAUGUUUAAUUACACAUGUGGCUUAUAUUCUAUUUCUGUUGGACAGCACUACUCUGGUGCAGUGGUUGUCACAGUGUCCUGGACCAUUAGCAGCAGCAGCACUUAGGAAUUUGUUAGAAAUGCAAGUUUCUAAUAAAUCAGAAAUUCCAAGUCAGAUACCUAUUGAAUCAGAACUACUGAAUCAGAAACUCUGGGGAUAAGGCCCAGAAGUCUGUAUUUUACAAGCCCUCCAUGGGAGUCUUCUUUGUUUCCUAACUGCUUUAUUGGAUAUGUCUCUUAUUCAAAGUGCACCGUUUAGUGGUUUUAGUGUGCCCACAGAGUUAUGCAAAUACCACCACAUUCUAUUUUCAUCACAACGAAAAGAAAUCUGUUCCCAUUCUCAGUCACUCCUCGUUCCCCAUGCUGUCAUCCCAGCCCCAGGCAACAACUCAUCUGCUUUCCCCUCCAUGGAUUUGCUCUUCCUGACGGUUCCUAGAAAUGGAAGCACACAGUAUGCAGUCCUUUAGGACCGGCUUCCCUCACUAAGCACCAUGUGUUCCUCCGUGGAUUCUGAUAUGCUGAUGUCUGAAAACUGCUGCUUUAGGGUAGAAAUGGAAAAGACAAAGUCAGAAAGAGUGUGAAAAGUCAAGGGUAUAAAGAAAAAUGCCCAGAUGAUGAGAGAAAACAAAUGAGACCAGGAGAACAUAAAUAGCAAACAAUGAAAGGUAGUUUUUUCCAUGUGGAAAAAGCUACCAAUCUUGUUCCCAAAGUCUAAGAAGACUGACACUGAAACCAGGUAUAACCGUACUCUAUAUUUCUAUGUUGCCUCUGCUUUAAUCUUUUUAUCUCCUCAAAUAAUUUUAUCGAAGAGAUGAUAAUUAAGGCCAUGAAAAUAGGUGACAUUACCAAAGGAGGAAGAGUCUCUAUAGAAAGAAAAGAGCAGAAUAUAGAGGGGGAGGUCUUUCCUUCCAGCACAGUGUGCAAAAUAGUUCACAUUCUUUCCCCCCCUUGAGUCCACCAGUAACCCUGGGAGGAAGUAAAGUGAGUGUCACUGUGCUAAUGCCCACUCAGUGCUUGAGCCAAGGUUUGGAGGUUGAUCUUCUGCCCUGAGGCAGCUCCUUUUCUUCUUUACUCAGUCUUUCUCAGUUAUAUAUAAAAGAGAAAAUGGAGACAAAAGAAAUAGUCAGGAAUGUAGGAUUAGAACAAGGUAAGGAGCCAGGUAAGGUGGCUACAUCUGUAAUUCCAGCAGCUUGGGAGGCUGAAGCAGAGGAUACCAAGUUCAAAGCCAACCACAGCAACUCAGAGAGACCCUGUCUCUAAACUUAAAAAAUGGAAAGGGCUAAGGAUGUGGCUCAGUAGUUAAGUGGCCCUAGGAUCAAUCCCUGGUACCUGCCCCCACAAGUACCCCCCCCAUUCCCCCAACCCCCCACCCCCACACACACAAAAAAAAUAGUUGAGAACAGUUUCAUGGAAACAAAGGGAGGAGUGUUUCAAGGAGGCCAAUCUUACUUGCUCCCUUGAAUUGAAAAACAGUCUUUUAAUGAACAGGGUGCGUUACUGCCAGCCAUACUUUGCAGUAAAGAGCUGUCAACAUGAACAACCUAGGAAAACAUGUUUUGCCUUUGUUUUAACCUACAAAGUGUUCCUCUAGUCACUAUUUCCCAUUUCUGUAGUUUAAUUUAAAUUUUUUUUCUGUUUUUAAUUUAAGUCUAUCAGACAUACAGUAAGACCCACAAAUAAUCAUACAGCUUGUUGAAUUUUCACACAAUGUGCCCAGGUCAAAAAACAGCACAUUGCCAGCAUCCCAGAAACCCCCUAUGCUUCCUCCAAUUAUUAUCUUUCCCUUGUGCCCCAAAUAACUGUUUUCCUGACUUUUAAUAUAGUUGAUUAUUUUGAGAAGUAAGCAUGAUAGAGUGGAUAUACAGCUUAUGUAUGAUCAGAAUGUCAGGUCAGUGGUGGCAACUUAGAACAAAGCAGCCAGGGAGGGAAAGAAAUAUCAAUCAGGCGCCAAGGAAAAGCCUGUCAAUCAGCGGGAUCUCCUGACUAACAUGUGUCAAUCAGCAGGACUCCCUGGCCAAUCCUGGAGUUCAGCCAGCACCCCUGACCAACUCCAAAGGGACAAGGGACUCUAAGCUCCGUCGGCUCCUAUGCGGUUUCUCCUCAGAACCUUCUCCUGUCCACUCUGUGGGUCUGAUCUAGUUCCACCCGGGAGUGAUAUCUCAAUAAAGCCUCGUUGGGCGGCCUUUUUAAAUCUGCCUCCUUUGGUCUCUGCCCGCCUUGCCUGAUCUUACAGAAAACCCACCAACUGACUACAUCCCACAGGAAGGCCUCUAAGACACUCAACCCAAACAAUAAAGAGUGCCAAUGACAAGAACAUCGAAAUCUCCACAUUAGCUCUGUAUUCUCUAGAGCUGACAUUAGGAGAUGCUGUUAUAGAACUAAACUGCCUGAUAGUAACAGGGAUGAAAGGGCCCAACACAAUAGAGGCCAUGCCCUUAACCUUCAGAAACAAGGUGGGUGUAAGGUUGGGGUGUCAGUCAGUGAGGGGAGAGGCUCAUCUGGAGAGAACUGUAGAGGAGAUUAAUAAAACCUGCACUCCCCAAGGUCAGUAGAUGAGCAGCCAACAAGCGUACUGCUCAAUCUAUGCUAUCAAAAGAAAUCAAAGUUGGAUAGUGAAAAAGCUGAGUACCAUUGAUCCAAUAAUUUUUAAAAAACCACAAGUCUCUGCCCAAUUUCCACACCUGAACUUGUUUUUCACACCCAGAAUCCACUGAGAUUGGGUUUCCAGGAAGAAUGACACCACAGCAAAGCGAAUCAGUAAUGAUCUCCUCCAGGUCUUCCCUGGAGGGACGACAUUCUCUUGCUAGGGUAACCAUACACUGCUCCCAGUUACCCACUUGGGACUUUGGUACUUCCUGUUGCAACAGCUCCAGGCUCUGUUUAUACACAAAACUAAGAAGAACACGGAUACUUCGUACAGUGGUUCUCAAAGUGUGGUCCAGUGGUAGCAAUAGCAUCACCAGGGAACUUGUUAGAAAUGCUCACCAUAGAACCUACCCCAGACAUAUUGAAUCAGAGUAGGGCCCAGACACUUGUUUUGACAAGUGUCUCCAGGUGAUUCUGAUGCAUAUUCUGUUUUGAGAACCACAGAUUUAGAGGUGAAUGCUUCAAACUAUUCCAUCAAAUGCUCUGACUUACCACUAAUAGCUCCCAAAUAGGGUGCUUUACUUUUUUAGGGGGGUGGUCCAAUACCAGGGAUUGAACUCAGGGGCACUCAACCAUUGAGCAACAUCCCCAGCCCUAUUUUGUAUUUUAUUUAGAGACAGGGUCUCACUGAGUUGCUUAGUAACACGCUGUUGCUGAGGAUGACUUUGAAUUCAUGAUCCUCCUGUCUCAGCCUCCCCAGCUGCUGGGAUUACAGGUAUGCACCAAUGAGCCCUGUCAAAAGGGUGCUAUUAAACCUACUUUACUCCUGUAGGUAUUCUGCUUCUUGUUUUCUAGCUGUUUUGUGCAGUUUGCCUCCAAAAAUUCUAAUUUUUCUUGAUAAAGGAUCUAUCUCAUAUUUUUAGCCUUCUUGUUCUAAAAGGACAUUUAACAUGACUGUGUGUUAAAUCCUUAUAUCCUAUAACUCAUGUGACAUGGUAUUUAAAAAUAUUAAUUUACCUCCCUGCAUUUCUUUGUAACCCAUGGCCCCAUCCCCAUCAGGCAGCUAGACCCUGGGCCCAGGGAUGGUAUAAUAGAAAAAAGGCUCUUGACUUUCAAAACUCUGAACCUUGAUAUUCUUUGGCUUGUGGGAAGGGGAGUCAGGACAGAGGGCUCUUCAGUGAGUCCCUGUGAAGAGGCCUCACCUUUCUCUCACUUAGUGAUUAAGAUAAACCACAAAAUCCUUAGAUAAAGGUAUCUGGGGAUCUAGAAGGAGAGGGGGCUUGUAUUUGGCCUCCCAGGUAUACCUCCUGGAGUCAGCAAGACCCCUGAGAAGCAAUGGCUAAAGAAAUAUCUGUGAGAUAGGACCUUAUAUAAAUCUCAUAGAAUUAAUUUCCCAUGGAAUAGCAAAGGGUUGUGGAGAAGUCUUAGCCACAAAGAUCUCUUUAAAGGCCAACAUGGUAUGGAAAUAGUGAAGCAGAAGGGAGGUGCCAGCAAUAAGGAGUCAGUAAUAAUAGUUAACGAUGGUAUCAAGCCAGGAGGGAAACCACAUAUGGGGGACAGAAAUCAGAAAACAAGCAAAUAGCAAAGGGAAGUGGCUUUUCUGUCAUAUCUACUGGUAGGCAGGAACUUAGUCUCUUGAUGCCAUCACAUGUAGAGGUGGGACUUGAGUGGCGCCUGCGCACCUCUUCAUCGUGCUUCUUCAUGUGUUGUCUGUCUCCUUACCAUCUUAAAUCUCCACCUAGGGCUGUGCAUUUUACUAUGCUAAUAAGGUGAAGGUUAUUGGGUUACUUUGGUGAGAGUCUACACAUGGGUUUGCCCCUCACUACCUGAAUUGACCUUCUCAUCUGAGGUUUUUAAUAUUAUUUUAUUCAGACCUGGCAUUUCUGCUGACCACAUAACCUCCCAGCCUUCCAUCUCCUGGCAUUAUCAUUCCCAUGAACUUGGAGACUGGUGCACCCCUAACUCCUAAUUCUCUGGUACAGCUGUUAACCCUGUAAAACUGAGAGCUAGCUUGGCUGUAUUACUUCCCCUGAAAGGUUUUACCCCUCACUCCUAAAGGAGGUCCUGUCUUUCAUGGAGCCCCUGACUGUCAUUUUAGCAAAUGCUAGUGGGAUGGUUCACCUAGGAAGACUACAUGCUUACCUUCCUCCACCUUCAAGAAUUUAAGAUUUUCCCCCAGAGGAAAGUAGCAGGAGAGAUCCUGUAUUUACUGAAACUUGGUUUUUAACCCUCAAAAAAUAGGGAGCUUUAUGUAUGAUUAGAAUAAAGAAAAUUCCUGCUUCUUACACUCUUGUGUUUGUGGAUUAGACACACCACCUGUAAUUCAUUGCUACAAAUAAUAUGUUUCACUAUGUAAUACUGGGAGAAACGAAUUUGUAUUUUUGGAGGUAAACAUUUUUGCUGAUGCCGGUGAUAGGAGUCUGUAAAAAGUGCUUCUCAAACUUUAUUGUCCAUAUCUAUCACCUGGAGAUUCUAUGAAAAAUACAGAUUUCUGAUUCAGUAAGGCAGAGGUGAAGACUGAAAUUCUUAAUUUUCAAUCAGCUCCAAGGUGAUGGUGAUGCUACUGGUACAGCAGCUACCUUGAAGUAGGGAGGCUGUCUAAAAUACUGGUAAGAUGACUAUGUUAUGUAGGUUUUUGAUACAUGUUAGCUACAUUUUCUUAAAUAAAAUAUAGUUUGGUAGGGUGGUGGCUACCAAAUUGUAACAAAAGAAAGUUUCUUCAGAAUUAGUCAACUAAGAGCUGGAAAUGUGGAAAAAAUAUAAUGCUGGGGCUGGAGUUGUGGCUCAGCGGUAGAGCAUUCGCCUUGCAUGCAAGGGGGUUUGAUCCUCAGCACCACGUAAAAAUAAAUAUAAGUGAAAUAAAGGUAUUGUGUCCAACUACAGCUAAAAAAUAAAUAUUAUAUAGAUAUAAUGCCAACUUUAUGGGUUUUACAUGUUUCAUUCAACUUUUGUAAUAUUUAAACAUUAUGUUUAAACCAUUAAACAAAUUUUGAAUGUCAAUUGAACUUGGUCAUGAGAAUUGUAAGUCUUGUAAGAGUUUUUGAACACCUUAAUAUAAAUGUAUCUUCCAAUUUUUAAUAUUAUCAUCCUGAACAGACAUGUGAGUGGCAGACAAAAUGCAUAUUUGUUAACAUAUAUAAUUUAAAUCAAAAGGUAAAUAAUAUAAAUGUUAGCAUAUUAAACAAUAUUUCUUAUCAAUUUUUCAGAUUAUAAAAAUGAUACUUGACCAUUUUAAAGAAUUUGGAAAAUACAGAAAAAUACCAGGAAAGAAAUAAAAUCUUUGGUAAUCUCAGCAGCCAGGGUUAACCACAACAACUUGGUAUUUUCCCUCCAAGUAUUUUUUUUUUCUUUUUUUUUUUUUUGGUACUAGGGAUUGAAGCCAGAGAUGCUUAAUCACUGAGAUACACCCCCAGCCCUUUUAAAAAAAUAUUUUACUUAUAGGGUCUCACUAAGUUGCUUAGGGUCUCGCUAAAUUGCUGAGGCUAGCUUUGAGCUCGCCAUUUUCCUGCCUCAGCCUCCUGAGCCGCUGAGAUUAAGGGUACAAUGCUUUUUUUCAUUUCCUGUCUCAGGUGCAGUUUGCUAUGUUUUUAAGUGUUCUUUGAAGGCACAGGUGUUUAAAUAGAGUUUUAAAUAGUGUUUAAAUCAAGCACAAAGUGCUUAAGUCAUGUUAGAAUAGAUGAUAUUCUAUUAUUAUGGGUACUAUGAAUGUUAACUAUUUCUCCAUUUGGGGCUUUUAUUUCUAAUUUUUUGUUGCUAGAAAAUAACACAAGCAACACAUUGUAUAUAUUUUAGACAUUGAAAUCUGACUAUUUUCUAGGAAACAGAAUUCCCAGAAUAUCACAAUAUUACCCAGUAAAAGGAUCUGGACAUUUUAGUCUUUAAACUCUUGAAACCUACUGCAAAAUGAAAUGUGUAAACAGUUUGAAGUCUAUGAAAGUGCCUAUUCCAUUACCUCUACAGCAGACCUGGGUAUUGGCAUAAAAAAAAAAAAAAACCUUCUAUAAUAUUGUGGGACUCAAACCUGUGCAUUUAUAGUAUAAAUUCUAUCAAUUAAUUUCCACUUAUCCAAUUACUAAUCUGCUUCACCAUUUCUUCAGUAAAGAACUGAGAAUUGAAAGGCUGAGUUAAUGUAACUGGUUGUCCUCUCUGGAUAGCUCCAUCUCUGAUUUGUGGAUGAGCUGUCAACUGUGUCCAUACAAACAUAUUCAAUCCAGUUAUCUUUGUCAUUAUAGAAGUAUAUAAUUUAGGGGCUGCGAUUGGGGCUCAGCAGUAGAGCACUCACCUAGCAUGUGAGAGGCCCUGGGUUCGAUCCUCAGCACCACAUAUGAAUAAAUAAAUUAAAUAAAGGUAUUGUGUCCAAUUACAACUAAAAAAAAUUCAAGUAUAUAAUUUAAUGUUAUAUAAAACAUUAAAAAUGAACUUAAGGGUUCCCCCCCGCUUUGCAGGGCUGGGGAUCAAAUCCAGGGCCCCACCUAUGCUAAGUAAGCACUCUACUACUGAGCUACACUCCUAGUCCUCAAACAAGUUCAUAUGAAAAGAAAGUUGAACAUUUUAUAGAACUCUCCAAGACAAAUGGCUCAUAUAAAUUGCUGCUGAGUUAGAUGUGAAAAUCAUAUGUAAAUCAGGAGGAAAGCAUAACAGUAUGGAUUCGGCACUCAGAAUCCUUUGUAAAUGCUUUAAAUUUAUGCUCCACUUUAAAGAAACCAGAAUUGGGGGCUGGGGUUGUGGCUCAGAGGUAAAGCGCUCACCUAGCAUGCAUGAGGCACUGGGUUUGAUCUUCAGCACCACAAAAAAAAUAAAGGGUUAAAAUAUAAAAGGUAAAAAUAAAGGUGUUGUGUCCACCUACAACUAAAAAAUAUUGAGAGAGAGAGAGAGAGAGAGAGAGAGAGAGAGAGAGAGAGAGAGACCAGAAUUGGAAACCUUCUAUCAGUGGUUCUCAAUAGGGCAGUACUGACCCCUAGGGGUUAUUAUGGAAACUUGGACAUUUUCAGUUGGUUUCACUACUGGUUUCUGGUGAAUUGUGAGCAGGGAUUUUGGACAUCCAGCAAUAGCCUGCACAGUCUUGGGAAGUCCCACUGAAUAUAGAAAACAACACAACCCUAUUUCUUCUUCUCAAGGAGUUGAAGUACAAUUCCCCCAUACGUGUGGGCUUCCUUUCAAAGAGUACAGAAAGGAGAUGGAUGUGUUGGAGAAACUUAACAAGCAUCACCUCAUCCAUAACUUCCCCCCAAAUUCUUUGGGGCUUUGGGGAGGUAAUUAGGCUAUGAGGGCAGAGCCUUCCUGAAUGGUGUUUUGUUACUGGGGAUUGAACUCAGGGGCACUCAACCACUGAGCCACAUUCCCAGCCCUAUUUUGCAUUUUAUUUUAGAGACAUGAUCUGAGUUGCUUAGCGCCUCGCUGGUUGCUGAGACUGGCUUUGAACUCAUAAUCCCCUUGCCUCCACAUCCCAAGCCAAAGGGAAUAGUGUUCUUGUUUUUAAAUUUUUUUUGGUUGCAGUUGACACAAUACCUUUAUUUUAUUUAUUUAUUUUUAUGUGGUGCUGAGGAUCGAACCCAGGCCCUCGCAGUCUAGGCUAGCCACAACCCCAGCCCAGGAAUAGUGUUCUUUUAAAAGUCAUAAGAGAUUUCUCUUGGCAGUGUGAAGACACAGCAAGAAGUUGCCUAUCUACAAGCCAGGAAAGGGAUCCUCACCUAGCCCUGGGUCUGCUUGCUGGUGCUUUAUCAUGGACCUCUCAGCCUCCUAAACUGUGAGAAAUAAAUGUUUGUUGUUUAAGCCUUC
rnacentral:lncRNA from 1 species